UACAGAGGGUGCGAGCGUUGUCCGGAAUCACUGGGCUUAAAGGGCGCGUAGGCGGGUCAUCAAGUCCGGGGUGAAAUCCCACGGCCCAACCGUGGAAGUGCCUUGGAUACUGGAGACCUCGAGGGGGAUAGGGGCGUGGCGGAACUCAGGGUGGAGCGGUGAAAUGCGUAGAUAUCCUGAGGAACACCGGUGGCGAAGCGGCGACGCGUGGAUCCGUCUCUGACGCGUGAGGCGCGGAAAGCCCAGGG
rnacentral:rRNA from 1 species